GAAAAUGUGUACCAAUUCUGACCAAAGAGAUGUGAGGAAAAGUGUCCUGCAGAUUUCUGGAAAGGUUUUCCUCAAAGAUAAAAAUGGGAAGCUCCGCCCUUUCUCUACCGUCCACAAAGAAUGAAGCCUAAACUCCAGUGCUACUGUUGACAAUAACCAUGAGGUUAUUCAACCUUAGGAGAAAACCACAUUGCUGGUAACCAAAUGAAAAGGGAGAAUUUCACAGUGCGAAUUUUGAACUCUGCUUGGGAACCUCUUUGAAGAUCAGCCAGAAGAUGAUGGAAGUGCAAAUAACAUGCAGAAGCUCACGGCUGUCCUUCUGUAGUUCAUGCUGAGCCGGCAGUCAUUCUCCCAACAUGACAGAAGUCAGAUUACCCUGAGCAUCAGCCUUUUACAGCACAGAACAUGGGACUUCAUUAAAUCUCAGCAUUUACAUAUUCAUGAAGUACCUGUGAGUUUGGACAGAGAAGAUGCCUAUAUCAGACAGAGUAAGGUUUGAUGGGGUAAAUAUUUAGCAUGUGGCCAAGCAUGAUGUGGCCACAGUGGGCUUCUCCCUUCUUCUGAAAGGCCUCGACACUACUAAGACAGUGGUAGGGUCGAGGCUAAGAAAGGCCUCGACGCUACUCUGGGAAUACCAAAGGUCAGCUUGUUGAGUGAAGUGUAAGUAUCCAGUCACUAAGGCAGUGACAUGAAGCUGAUCUCUUGAUUGAGUCCCAAACAGCUCUGCCUGAUCUCCACAUGUUCUCGCAUCUUCUUCAUAAAUACGUUUAUAUAAUUCUUGAAGUUCCACCAAAUAGACGGAGGCACACACUGGCAAAAAGAUCCAUCCAGUUCUUGGUGUUGUCAGCCUGCCUGUCACAUUCCAGCAACAAACGACCUUCGGGGUUUGAGGACACCUCCCAACAGUAGCACCAGCUUCGCUGCCUUGUUCCCUCUGAACCUACAAAGCCUAAAGCUCUCAGCUUAUUUUACCCUCUAGUCCCUUCGAACUUGAGUUCUAAUGUCUUGGCCAUUGGUUUCUCUCUUCAUUUGGUUUGAAUCAUACUUGCAUCUAUCAAUGUCUCUUUGUCCCCCUCAACUCAUCCUCUGACCUUGUUGGUAGACAACUCCCCAUGAAUCCCUCAUGUUUCUGCCCAUCUUGUGACAUCAUUUGUCUGGAAUAUCUUUUCGAGGAUGUUUGUGUAGCAAAUAGCCUUGGAAAUAUAGUAUUUCCCCUCAGUGCAGAGGGCAGAUUUCUUUGCCGUCUAAGAUAAACACAAUGGCUUUCUCCCGAACAAAGUUUGGGCAAGUCUGCUAGCGGCACUUUAAUAAGAUGGAGGGUCCUAGGCUCAUAGUUCCUUAGUUGUGCAUGUAGGGUCCUCCUGGGUCUGCUUCUGCAUCAUUCCCAUAGAGCCUGGGGCAAGGAGAACCGAUGCAAACGCGAAGCCCAUGAUGCCUGCUGUUCUAUGAGUAAUAAAUGUCUUUGUCCCUGACCUAAAGUCUUGUGUCUUCUGCUCGUGUCUAUGAAACUGCAGCAUGCUGACUUGUGAGCUUGUAAGUGGGGUGAAGGGUGAUGUUACAGUUCUCGAUAUGCUUCAGUUGACAUAAGCACUGUGGCUAGCAUUUUCUAGCUGGGGUUUCCUAGCAUUGGUGUCCUUUUCCUAAUUUCACCCUGAUUCCCUCUUCAGAAUUCUGUAUUCCCUAUUGGAUGCUAUUUGAGGAAUAUAAUUUGAUGUUCUGUCCUCUCCCACCUAAGAGAUGGGAGCAUAACCCAAGCUAAACUUGCUGAAACUUAAACAGAAUGACAGAAACAAUGAAAACAAUUAGCAUUCUUUAUCCCAGCUCCGUAAACAAAUACUUCCUGCUAUUUCUGAAUAUCCUUUUCCUAAAAUCUAUAGAUAACCUGAACUCUGCCUGUGUCCUAACCAGUUUUGUGACACUUCCCAUGAAUUUUGUGAAUUUCUAAUAUUCACCACAUACAUUUCCCUUGGCCUGAGUUACUUCUGUCUCCUUCAACCAAAGAUUUCUAGAAUAAGCAGCCUGGGUCUAGCACCCUGGAAGUCAUAACGUGUUUCAUAUGUGUGCGGAUUGCCUUUUCACACAACAUGGUUACCCUUCACUACAGUUUGGGAUUUAGAAACAAGACAAUAUUAGAUACAUACAUAAAAAGAAUAAAGGACUCUAAAUUUCUAGAUUUUGUAAAUCUUUUCUCUGUCUACAAACCUAUUUCAAAGCAUUAAUUUAGUAUCUACUGAGCACCUCCUUUAUACAAAAACUGCUAGGAAUAUGGCAGUGAACAAAAGAGAAAAUGUCUCUUUUCUCAUAGAGUUUACAAUCUUAUUCUAUUCUAUAUCCUAUUUUUACUCUUUCUUUAAAAAGAGGCUGUUAAAACAUAAAUCCUUUGUGGGCAUAAACCUUGUGCGUUUUUUGUUUAUCACUUUUAUUGGUGACUAGUUAUUAAGUGUCCGACAAAUAUUUACUGACUAAAUACACAAAUCUCACUUCCAAUGAGAAGUUGCUAACACUGAAACAUCUGCAUUUUUGGUCACAAAUAAUUGCCCAGGACAAAGACUAAGAGCAUUAGAACCCAAAGGGAUGAAGGGAUAAAGUUCUCUUUGUAUUUAAAUGAAGGCAAUUUAAAGGUCUUAAGUUAGUAUCAGUUUGACAAAUUCUCAA